UCCCAAUAAGGAAGGGAGUGUCUGUUAUAACAGCCAGGAGGCUGGCGUGAUGGAUCCCCUUUGUGCAUCCCAACGGUCUUAGUCGCGUCUGAGAUGCAGACGUGCAGAAGUUGGAGCGUUGGCUUUACAGAUGUGUCCCUGCGGUCACUUAGCUCUGUGGUUUCUGGGCCCACGCAUGAAUGGUGAGGAAGAACACGAUGGUGGGAACAGUGUGUGGCAGAGGAGGACACACGCCCCAUUGUGUACAGAAA